AAAGCGCUGGGAUUACAGGUGUGAGCCACCAUGCCUGGCCAAGAGGUAUUUUAAAGGCAACAUGAGGAGUUUGUCUUCUGGACACAUGAAAGUCCAAAUGCCCUGGAUCUGAUGUUUGAUAAGAUAUCUUUUCACUAUCCAUAAUUGGAAAGGAAAUUCUGAUGGAGGAAUCAAAUAAAAUUCAUAAUAAACAGGACAUAAUUGAAUGGCAAGGAGAGAGGUAGUCGCCCUUCGACGAAUGUCUGUCUUAGUGCCAGCGCUCUUCUGGAGGCUUAUAGCUGUAGUCAGAUGAGCCCCGCUAUGCCUGGCUUAACUUCAUGAAAGUUUUGUGACAUAAUAAACAAGGUGUGGUGGGAACCAGAGUGAGACUCAGGCUGGUCGAGCCUUGCCUAAGCACUCAGGAACAGGAUCAUGUGAAACAAUACCUUCCCCAGGUCAUGGCUACGUCGGGCAUCAGCACUUUGCUUAUUUCCUGCCAAAGCCCAGGCCAAAGCUUGAUUUGAGUGUCAGCAAGUUAAAACUCAGGCACAUCCAUCUUUCCUAAGGUGGAUAUAUCCAAUGAAGGCUGGCUUGGUUUCUUUUGCACUAACUUGGCUUUACAGAAGGGCCCCAACAAAGGAGGCUCACUCUGAUUGCAGAGGUUGGGGAAGAGAUACUAGAUGGAAGCCCUUCAGGAGGCCCUUGCCAUGAUCCAGGUACAACCCAAAUACAUUCUUCACAUUUCUCUGACUUCCAAGGUGCACUUAUGUGCUUGAGGAACUUUAGAGAGUCCCAGCAUUUUGAUGAUGAACUUCAUGAGUUACUUUGUGGGGAUGCAAUGAAAGGGAAUUUUUUUUCUUUCUCUCUCUCUGUUUCUUUUUUAAUCUGAUUGAGGAGAGACAUAGGGACUGGAAGACAUUCACAUGGCUAUAAAUAAAAGUCAAGAUACAAUUGUUCAGGUAAAAACAAA
rnacentral:lncRNA from 1 species